UGGGGAAUAUUGGACAAUGGGCGCAAGCCUGAUCCAGCCAUGCCGCGUGAGUGAUGAAGGCCUUAGGGUUGUAAAGCUCUUUCGCCGAGGACGCGGUACUCGGAUAAGAAGCCCCGGCUAACUUCGUGCCAGCAGCCGCGGUAAUACGAAGGGGGCUAGCGUUGUUCGGAAUUACUGGGCGUAAAGCGUAUGCAGGCGGAUCUUUAAGUCAGGGGUGAAAUUCCGAGGCUCAACCUCGGAACUGCCUCUGAUACUGGGGAUCUUGAGUCCGGGAGAGGUUAGUGGAACUGCGAGUGUAGAGGUGAAAUUCGUAGAUAUUCGCAAGAACACCAGUGGCGAAGGCGGCUAACUGGCCCGGUACUGACGCUGAGAUACGAAAGCGUGGGGAGCAAACAGGAUUAGAUACCCGUGUAGU
rnacentral:rRNA from 1 species